rnacentral:rRNA from 1 species
CCUACGGGCGGCAGCAGUGAGGAAUAUUGGUCAAUGGGCGAGAGCCUGAACCAGCCAAGUAGCGUGAAGGAUGACUGCCCUACGGGUUGUAAACUUCUUUUAUAAAGGAAUAAAGUGAGGCACGCGUGGCUUUAUGUAUGUACUUUAUGAAUAAGGCUCGGCUAACUCCGUGUCCACAGUCGUCGUAAUACGGAGGAACUGAGCGUUAUACGGAUUUUUUGGGGUUACAGGGAGCGUAGAUGGGUUUUUAAGUCAGUUGCGAAAGUUUGCGGCUCAACCGUAAAAUUGCAAUUGAUACUGGCAGCCUUGAGUGCAGUUGAGGUAGGCGGAAUGCGUGGUGGAGCGGUGAAAUGCUUAGAUAUCACGAAGAACUCCGAUUGCGAAGGCAGCCUACUAAACUGCCACUGACAUUGAUGCUCGAAAGUGUGGGUAUCAAACAGGAUUAGAUACCCUUGUAGUC